UUUGAGCUAAGGUUGUAUGGCACAUUUUAAUAAUGAGAGGUAAGGGAUUUGGUUUCUGGCCGUCGGCCACUUGGGAAACUGUGUUAGGCUCCCUCCAUGGACACUUGCAGCUAUCUCAGUAUGUUAGGAGCUGUCUCAUACAUCCUCUGCCUGCCUCUUUCUGUCAGGCCGGCGGAGGAUCAAGCACGCUCACAGGAAGUGGCACGAUCAUCACUCUUAGCCACACAAGGCCACAUAGAGUGAUACAUACUAAAUCUUGAGACAAUGAGAGGC